rnacentral:rRNA from 1 species
CCUACGGGUGGCAGCAGUGAGGAAUAUUGGUCAAUGGCCGGAAGGCUGAACCAGCCAAGCCGCGUGAAGGACGACGGUGCCAAGCAUUGUAAACUUCUUUUGUCAAGGGACAAAAUCAGGCUCGAGAGCCUGACCGAGGGUACUUGAAGAAAAAGCAUCGGCUAACUCCGUGCCAGCAGCCGCGGUAAUACGGAGGAUGCGAGCGUUAUCCGGAUUUAUUGGGUUUAAAGGGUGCGUAGGCGGACUGUUAAGUCAGCGGUAAAAUCCCGGGGCUCAACCCCGGCGAGCCGUUGAUACUGGCUGUCUAGAGAGGACGAGAGGUAUGCGGAAUGCGCAGUGUAGCGGUGAAAUGCUUAGAUAUUGCGCAGAACUCCGAUUGCGAAGGCAGCAUACCGGCGGCGAUCUGACGCUGAGGCACGAAAGCGUGGGUAUCGAACAGGAUUAGAUACCCCAGUAGUC